rnacentral:sRNA from 1 species
AGUGCGUCUGUGGAGGCGGUCCUGUGACGGAAAUGUGAAACUGGUCUCAAUCGGUUGACCACCGUAAGGAAAUGGGAUUUACACUGUGGACAGAGAUGUGUCCUUUUCACUUCAUUUGAACCAAUAUGCCCGUGCCCCCGUGGAGGCUGAGUUGGAAAGUGACACGAAGCUGCCCCCACAAGAGAGCAGAAAAAGAUGUUGCUGGUCCAUUUGACAAAGAAGUCCAGAGCUGCUUGUGACUUCAGUCUGGCUCUGCAGAGCCCAGGUGCUCUCUCCACCUCCUGCCAGAUUCCCCUACGAAGGCUUUGCUCUCAGACUCUCCCCUUGUGGAGACAAAAAUCCCACAGCAAGUGGAAACAGAAGUGCCUUGGAAAAAGUUCUUCUGGCAGCUCCUAUACAGGUCACCCAUCAGAUGCUGGUAUUGGACCAGCUUUGGUUAUCAAGCCCUGCUGUGGCACAAAAAGGAAUGUUGUCCUGAUACAGCAGCCUCGGGUCACCCAAUCCACUCCAGAUACUAUGGCUGCAGCAUCAAUGUAAGCAGACAAGUUG